UUCGAAGCUUUCUUUUCGCGGGUCCGAAGAUUGCGUGCGCGAUGUGCUUGGUCGCGAAUUCUGAAACACCGAGUGCUGAACGGCUUAGCCGCGAGUGUGAGGAUAUCGCACGCGAAGCUUGGUUGCGAAGUCCGCGUCGCCGAUGCUCGGAAUGCUUAGUCGCGGGUCUGGAACGUCCACAAACUGAAGCUUCGGCCAUGCUACUGCGAUGUUCGCGUAGUGCCCGUUUUGACACUCGAAGAGAUUAUGGAGAGUGGAGACUGUACAGAGCUCGCGAGGUGCAAAGAGCCGAGCAGACGACACGAGCGCCGGACCAAUGGCGAACCACACUGGAAUCACGUGGCGGGCGUGGCCAAUCGCAGACUCUGGCACGACCUUCAACCAUUUGCUUUUUGUGCGCUUGUUUUUGUAUGGAGGAGAUAACUGAAGCGGCAAAUUUGAAGAUGGACAAAUGCGCUUUCCGAAGACCAAGAUGGCGGCGCUCGGUUGAGCCGUU
rnacentral:lncRNA from 1 species